CUGAGGAUGCAAUUAAAGCUGCCGUGAAAGACUAUGAAGCAAAGAAGGCGAAGCUAGCACAAAAGGGUGAAGAGAAGGCUGCCGAAGCAUGAGUGCCAGAGGUUCUGUCAUGAAGAAUGUUGCAGUGCCCUGCGUACUCGUAGUAAAGAACCUGUCAUGAAGAAGUCUCUGCUCUGCUUCUUGCUGGCGGGAAAUAGUGUGUAACGCUCACAAACUCUAUGCAGCAUGUAUCAUAAGGAUGAAGGCAAACAUUUUUGAAUAAAUGUGCUGUCAUCUUGAAAGAAAAAAAAAAGGUGUAUGCGUGUGUAUGGCCUAGUAAUGAACAUAUGGUACGGAAUUACGGUCGCGAGAU
rnacentral:sRNA from 1 species